rnacentral:tRNA from 1 species
GGGCCCAUAGCUUAGUUUGGUGGAGCACUUGCCUUUUAAGCAAGGGGUCGGGGGUUCAAAUCCCCUUGGGCCCG